rnacentral:rRNA from 1 species
UACGGAGGAGGCAAGCGUUAUCCGGAAUUAUUGGGCGUAAAGCGUCCGCAGGUGGCUAUUCAAGUCUGCGGUCAAAGACUGGGGCUUAACCCUGGAAAGGCCGUGGAAACUGAAGAGCUAGAGUGCAGUAGGGGUAGAGGGAAUUCCCGGUGUAGCGGUGAAAUGCGUAGAGCUCGGGAAGAACAUCGGUGGCGAAAGCGCUCUGCUGGACUGCAACUGACACUCAGGGACGAAAGUUAGGGGAGCGAAUGGG